rnacentral:rRNA from 1 species
GAUGAACGCUAGCGGCAGGCCUAAUACAUGCAAGUCGGACGGGAUUCAGGAGCUUGCUUCUGAUGAGAGUGGCGCACGGGUGCGUAACACGUAUGUAACCUACCUUUAUCAGGGGGAUAGCCUCUCGAAAGAGAGAUUAAGCCCGCAUAAAAUCACAGCACAGCAUUGUGUAAUGAUCCAAUAUUUAUAGGAUAAAGAUGGGCAUGCGGAACAUUAGCUAGAUGGCGGGGUAACGGCCCACCAUGGCGACGAUGUUUAGGGGAUCUGAGAGGAUGGCCCCCCACACUGGUACUGAGCCACGGACCAGACUCCUACGGGAGGCAGCAGUAAGGAAUAUUGGUCACUGGGCGGCAGCCUGAACCAGCCAUGCCGCGUGCAGGAAGACGGCCCUACGGGUUGUAAACUGCUUUUAUACGGGAAUAAACCCAGAUACGUGUAUCUGGCUGAAUGUACUGUAAGAAUAAGGAUCGGCUAACUCCGUG